GCAGUUUUAAGUUCUUCCGCACAGAAAGCCAAGACCUUUCCCGAUGGCAAUUGCGACUACUUAAAAAUUCUGGUUAUUGUGUACAAUUCAUUUACAAAUUCAGCAGCAUACAUGUUAGACACAUGCUCAACAUCAACACCAAGUGUAUAUGCCCUUAGCCACAGAUCCUUCAUUUUCAGCUUCACCUCCGUUGAUAUCAUCUCAAUGAGAGCCACGUACUUGAAUCCCCUAGACAUGAAAAGUUCAAAUGUUCUCGGUUACACAUACGUUCACUGAGUCCCUAUCUGCAUCCAAACAACAAUAUGGUAUACAACGUAAGUUGCUAUGAUCGGAGAAGCCAUUUCUACAUAUUGAUCAAAGUUGUCAACAACAAAUCAGUUCUACACACACACACACACACACACACACACACACAACCUUAAUACCGGUACAUAACAUCAUGUGUUGUCAAUUAGAAUAUAUAUCGCUAUUAUAGCAUUUACCAAAAUUUUUGACACAACCACAAAUUUUUGACCUAACCAAUAUGUUAAUGUAUAUAUAAUAGUAAAAAAAGAAUUUGUUGUUUCUUUAUAGGCAUAUAUGAAUUUUCCCCUUUUUCAAAUUAGGCACAAUAUCCACUGCUGCUUUGUAUUGUAUCCAGCGUCCCAGCCCCCAUUGAUAUGACAAAUUGAACUUUGCAAAAACACACAAAGGCGCAAACUAGACCCUAUAUCUCCCACUCGGGCGGCUCUGCCACUGAAGAGUCUGUGACCUACUGCUACCGAGUGGCCGAGCUUUCAUCGUCCGCCACUUCCCGCCUGCCAGUCCCACAGCUGUGUAAGUGGGCCUCUUUUCUUCUUUCUUUAUUUAUUUUUUUUUUUUUUUUUAAAGUUCAUUUUUUAUGCAAUUGGAGAAUGAUUUGUGACCUUCUAUAGGUUUGAUUUACUUUGGGUAUGCUUCAUUUUCUAGUCUUCUUGUUUUGGGUUUUUAUCUAAUUGACUUUUUUAAUUAUUAAUUACUUGGCUGAUAG
rnacentral:lncRNA from 1 species